AUGCAUGAUCAGGUCGGCAUCGACCUGGACGGCUUCCCACUCGACCACGAGUUCCCAGACGACCACGGGCUAGAGAAAGAGGACGAGUGCGACAUCAAAGUGGAGCCCUUGUUCGAGGACGAGCUCACCAACCAAGCUGCCGGUCCUAAGCCGAAGCACAAGAGCAAGCGCACAAAGGCAUACACGGCGGCCGAGGACAAGCUUCUUUGCAAGUGUUGGCGAUACAUUAGACAAGACCCCAAGAUGUGCGCCGAAAAGCAUUCAACCUUUUGGAUUGGUGUCCAUCAAGAGUUUCAUGAGCGCAAGAAGUUUCCGCCUUACCAACUUGUGAGCACGUGCGGGUGGUUGUCCAUUUCCAAGCGAUGGAGGGUGAUCCAACAAGAGUGCAACAAGUUUUGCGCCACUCCUGAGAGCGUUAAGGCCCGCCCCAUGAGCAGCAUCGGCAUGAAAGACAUGGUAUGCUAG
rnacentral:rRNA from 1 species